UACGGAGGGGGCUAGCGUUGCUCGGAAUUACUGGGCGUAAAGCGCGCGUAGGCGGCUUUGUAAGUUAGAGGUGAAAGCCCGGAGCUCAACUCCGGAACUGCCUUUAAGACUGCAUCGCUAGAAUUGUGGAGAGGUAAGUGGAAUUCCGAGUGUAGAGGUGAAAUUCGCAGAUAUCAGGAAGAACACCUAUGGCGAAAGCAGCUCUCUGGGACGGUACUGACGCUGAGACGCGAAAGCGUGGGGAGCGAACAGG
rnacentral:rRNA from 1 species